GUCAGGAUGGCCGAGCGGUCCAAGGCGCUUGCGUUCAGGUCGAAGAGUCCGUUCUGACGGGCGUGGGUUCGAAUUCCCACUCCUGACA